CGUUGAAUUGGGCGUGGUCCCCUAUAAAAUGGCUAAACUCAAAGUCAGUGACAUAGCAGUUUUGUGGACUGAACUCGAUCACUGGAUAUCUGGACGUCCCAAGUGAUCACCAAACAAAGAACGAAACAUGGGACCAAACGUGCACAUAGAAUAUUGCGGCGGAUGAGGGUUCGCUUCCAGGUAUCGGGAACUUGCCAGCCAGAUUAAACAGCAGGUCCCCGAUGCCAAUGUGUCCGGGAAAGUUGGACGCAGCUCAAGCUUUGAGGUCACCGUCAAUAACAAGCUGGUCUACUCCAAGCUGGAGAGAAAUGCCUUCCCAGACAACAGAGAGGUGGUGCGGAUGGUGAAGCAGGCCAAUGGAGGAGGGCAGGAGUACGGCAGCACAGCAGGCCAGGGCAAGACAAGCCAGAAGAGGAAGAAGAAUGGCGACUGCCUGCUCCUAUAGCGGAGCCCUCCUGUAGCGGGAAAGCGUUUUCUUACAGCUCGGAUGCGGGUGUGACUCUGUUAAUGACUGUGUGUGCUAAAAUAAAGGGGCACACACACGAUGAGGUCCCAGAAUCACUCCUGCGGAUGAACCGUAUGAAAUGCAGUCCUUUUUUAGUUUUUCUACAUUACCUUCAACUGAUAUUUCUGCCUUUGUAUCAUUUUACUCUUUUACUCUGUGAAUCCGCAUCUCUUUUUAAGACAGGCCUCUCAAUAGAUGGCGAUUUUUAAGCUGAAUUCAAACCAGGCCCGUAAGCACAAAAUGUGCAGCUAGAGAAACAAACAUUCAAAAAUUUUUCACCCACUUUUUAUUUUUAUUUUUAACCCAAUUUAAUUUCAGCCAAAUUUGGUAGUGCAGUCACAAUUUUCUAGACCCGUCCAUGCACCAACCGGAGUUUGAUUCAGGGGAAGGCAGACUAAUACACCUCCUCCAAAAGCAUAUGCUGCCAUCGCUCACCACAUCUGCUGCCAGAGCUGCAGUCAUGGCAUUAUUUUACUGCAGGCACCUGCUGGAACUGAGGAGUUCAUAAGCUGUGAUAAGACGGUGACAACCGGCAACAGGAUGGCCAAUCAUGGGCUGCCACUCAGUUAACCACUGGCACAGACCAUGACACCACGCUUUCUAGUGUAGAACAUGCCAGCUGACAGCGCAGAGACUGUGUUAUUAAUGUUUUUUUUGACCUGUCCCGGAGGCAGGAAGUACAAUUCUGUAACAGGGAGAUUGUCUGAAGGGUGGGGGUGGUGGUACACGAGAAAUGGAAAUAUUUUGGACUAGGAAAACUUCCUGACAAUGAAAGGUCAGUUCCGACAUGGUCCCUGAUGUUUUUCCUUUAUGUCCGGAACACUAAGUGAAAGCUCUUAAUGAUGAACCCAACCUCUUAUCUUUUACUGUAAGAAAUAAAAAAUGGUUUCUUGAGAAA